CCUGAUAGCUCAGUCAGUAAAGAAUCUGCCUGCAAUGCAGGAGACCCUGGUUCAAUUCCUGGAUCAGGA
rnacentral:tRNA from 1 species